rnacentral:rRNA from 1 species
GCUAGCGUUGUUCGGAAUUACUGGGCGUAAAGCGCGCGCAGGCGGUUCUUCAAGUCAGCGGUGAAAGCCCAGAGCUCAACUCUGGAAUGGCCUUUGAGACUAGAGAACUAGGGUACGGGAGAGGUGAGUGGAAUUCCGAGUGUAGAGGUGAAAUUCGUAGAUAUUCGGAAGAACACCAGUGGCGAAGGCGGCUCACUGGCCCGUUACCGACGCUCAGGCGCGACAGCGUGGGGAGCAAACAGG